rnacentral:rRNA from 1 species
AAGUGCAGAUUGAUCUUGAAAUAGAAAGCACUUUACGCAGGUUGAACGCGCUUGGGCGAGAGUAGUACUAGGAUGGGUGACCUCCUGGGAAGUCCUCGUGUUGCACCCU